AGCGAACGCUGGCGGCAGGCCUAACACAUGCAAGUCGAACGGAUCCUUCGGGAUUAGUGGCGGACGGGUGAGUAACACGUGGGAACGUGCCCUUUGGUUCGGAACAACUCAGGGAAACUUGAGCUAAUACCGGAUGUGCCCUUCGGGGGAAAGAUUUAUCGCCAUUGGAGCGGCCCGCGUAGGAUUAGCUAGUUGGUGAGGUAAAGGCUCACCAAGGCUACGAUCCUUAGCUGGUCUGAGAGGAUGAUCAGCGACAUUGGGACUGAGACACGGCCCAAACUCCUACGGGAGGCAGCAGUGGGGAAUCUUGCGCAAUGGGCGAAAGCCUGACGCAGCCAUGCCGCGUGAAUGAUGAAGGUCUUAGGAUUGUAAAAUUCUUUCACCGGGGACGAUAAUGACGGUACCCGGAGAAGAAGCCCCGGCUAACUUCGUGCCAGCCGCCGCGGUAAUAC
rnacentral:rRNA from 1 species